UAGGGAAUCUUCCACAAUGGACGCAAGUCUGAUGGAGCAACGCCGCGUGAGUGAAGAAGGUUUUCGGAUCGUAAAGCUCUGUUGUUGGUGAAGAAGGAUAGAGGCAGUAACUGGUCUUUAUUUGACGGUAAUCAACCAGAAAGUCACGGCUAACUACGUGCCAGCAGCCGCGGUAAUACGUAGGUGGCAAGCGUUGUCCGGAUUUAUUGGGCGUAAAGCGAGCGCAGGCGGAAUGAUAAGUCUGAUGUGAAAGCCCACGGCUCAACCGUGGAACUGCAUCGGAAACUGUCAUUCUUGAGUGCAGAAGAGGAGAGUGGAACUCCAUGUGUAGCGGUGGAAUGCGUAGAUAUAUGGAAGAACACCAGUGGCGAAGGCGGCUCUCUGGUCUGCAACUGACGCUGAGGCUCGAAAGCAUGGGUAGCGAACAGGAUUAGAUACCCUGGUAG
rnacentral:rRNA from 1 species